UACGUAGGUGGCAAGCGUUGUCCGGAAUUAUUGGGCGUAAAGCGCACGCAGGUGGAUGCACGCGUCCCGCGUGAAAUCGCCCGGCUCAACCGGGCGGGGUCGCGGGAUACGGUGCGUCUGGAGCACGGGAGGGGGCAGUGGAAUUCCCGGUGUAGUGGUGGAAUGCGUAGAGAUCGGGAGGAACACCAGUGGCGAAGGCGACUGCCUGGACCACAACUGACGCUGAUGCACGAAAGCUAGGGGAGCAAACAGG
rnacentral:rRNA from 1 species